CUCAGGGCCCAGCAGACACCGCACCCUCACACUGCAGAGCAGAGUCAGAAGGUCAAGGAAGUGUGAAUCUGACAAGAUGGCCCUGGACAAGCAGGAACGAGUUGAGUGGUGCUAAUGUUUGGGAAAUCUCUGGAAUUAAAAGAGAGAGGGCCUGACCCAGGGACCAGGGAAGGCUGGAAGGGAUGCCAUGUGACCGAGCCAUAGCAGUAGAAGGUCCUAAAACAGAGACGGGCAGGGCCUGGCAGGAGGGGAUCCUGCGGGCGGCGCCUUGCUCUGUGUGCAGCUUAGCGGUUGGCCCGAGCCUGGCUGCUUCCUUCCUGGCCACAGCCUCCUCUUCGGGAAGACCCACGAUAAUGGCUCCUGCCUGCUGGCUGUGUGUGCUCGCCCAGCGCCAGCAAGCGUGGCUGUUGUGGUCAGUGGGCGCGGCAGGGAGGACUGUGUGCUGUUUCUCAGGUGAGCAGUGGCACCCAAGGGUCUCAACAGCGAGUGGCUUAGGGACUGCCCUUAAAGGUCACAGAACAAGUCGUGGAAGGGUGAGGUGCUAGGAUGCACCAGUUUUCCCGGAGUCUCCGAGGACUCUCCCCAGUCAUCCAGGAGGGUGAGGUCACGUGAGAACGUCUGUGUGGAAGAGGCCACCAAUGACCUGAGGUGGCUGUUCCAGUUUCCUGGUGUUGAAUGGCAAAAGGACGCCUGGGGAGAGGGAAGCCAGGACAUGGAGCCCGCCAGGAAUCCCAGCCCAGUCCCUCCAGCUCCAGGGGCCCUGGCCUGGCGCAGGCCCCUGGUGUGUCCACUGUCAAGUGAGUGGAGUCCUUGACUGCCCACUUCCACAGGCCCCCUCCCAGAGCAAGGGCCGCUGCAGCCCGGGACAGGUGGCUUUGUUUGUGGCUCUUCCUGCACAAGAUCACCAGUAGAAAGGUCACUGCAGAUUUUCACAAGAGCAAGGCUCCUGGGUCAGCCACCUUUCCACCUUCCUAGGGUGUGGACUUCAUGUCCACCCAAGUAAGAGGUGUCCGGAAGGCCGCUCACAGGGUCGGAUCCGGCGGACAGAAACGUGGGGUUGGCUCUGAACUGUUUUAGAGUGUUUUUCUGCUGGGACAACUGGAUAACCAUCUGGAAAAAAUAAAGUGAGCUCCACACCUUACUCAGCACGGCUGGCACAGUUCCAGAAUCCCAAAUGGAUCCAGGAGCUGAAUGUAUAAAAGGCAUCUAAUUAGGAAGCAGGCAGAUACACUGGAGAGGGGACAAAACCCAGAAGCCAUAAAGGAGAAAAUCUUAAUUAUACAUAUAAAAUCAAAACUUUUGCCUAGCAACACAAAAAGAAAACAACCAAAUAAAUCCACACAGAAAACAACAAAAAUACCCAGUAAAUUUAAGACAAAUGACAAAUUGGGAAAAAUGUUUGCAACUCAGUUGUAAAGGAAUAAUCUCCCUAAUAUGUAAAUAGCACUUAGAGAUAAAUAAGAAAAAAUGGGCAAAGGGUAUGAACAGGCAUUUCAUAGAAAAGAAAAUGCAGGUGUUUAAACAUGAAAAGACACUCAACCUCAAUGUAUUCCAGUAAGUAGGAGAGAAUAUUGGAACUACUCUGAGGGGGUGUGGGUGCAGCUCAGAGGUACAGUGCUUGCCUAGCCCGUGCAAGGCCCCCCAUGGGUUUGUUUCCCAGUCCUGCCAAAAAGGAAAAAAAAUAAUUAUUUCUGGAAAUUUCUUCACAUAUCAGGUUGCAUUAGGAUCUUUAAUGACACUGCUGGUAAACUUUUAGACAAACAUGCUUUCUUAGGCCUCAAUGCUGGGACACCAUUCUCCUAUCAAAAUAAGAUGUGUACUCAGACCCAGUACCUGCAGCUGUCAGAACCCAGCUUCUGCUGAGAAAGACACGAUAAAGCAUGACUAUGGCCCCUGCAUUGAAAUAGCACACGACUGGGCAGAACUCGAGCAUUCCUCAGGCGUUGGCUUUGCAUGUCCCCACUGUGGAACAGGAGCAGGUUGUAAAGACGGAUCGAUCGGGAGUUCUUGUGAGUCGGCAUGGAGACGUCGACAAGAUAUGAGAGCCAAAUGCAGAGAAAUGUCCAUAAUAUGCUACCAUCUGUGCAAAAAUGAGAGGCAUGAAAAUUCUCAGGAUAAAUAAAAACUGGAGAACAGGA